rnacentral:lncRNA from 1 species
GUUGGUGGCUGGAGAGGAGCAAUUGCCCAUGUUUUUAAAGAAGGAUUUUGAGACCCAGAGCAGGCCGUGCUUGAGGUUACUCAGUGGACCCUUGAUAUCCAAAGGAAUCCCCUCGCAGUGGAAGGCCACCCUCAGAGAAUCAGCAAAUCCUCCUCCCUGAGUUUGGGCGGGGUCAGAAUGUUCUCCUCAUCGGAGGUCAGCUGGGACGACUUUGGAUGGUGGAGACCCUGGGGCAGAGGGCAGGGGACACAGCCCCACUGACCCAGAGCCCCCAAGAGGAAGGAUGACAGCAC